rnacentral:rRNA from 1 species
UACAGAGACUGCGAGCGUUAUUCGGAUUCACUGGGCGUAAAGGGUGCGCAGGCGGCUUUGUGUGUGAGGCGUGAAAGCCCGGGGCUCAACCCCGGAACUGCCUUUAAGACUGCAUCGCUUGAAUCCGGGAGAGGUGAGUGGAAUUCCGAGUGUAGAGGUGAAAUUCGUAGAUAUUCGGAAGAACACCAGUGGCGAAGGCGGCUCACUGGACCGGUAUUGACGCUGAGGUGACGAAAGCGUGGGGAGCAAACAGG